rnacentral:rRNA from 1 species
GGAUUAGAUACCCUGGUAGUCCACGCCGUAAACGAUGAUCACUCGCUGUUUGCGAUACACAGUAAGCGGCUGAGCGAAAGCAUUAAGUGAUCCACCUGGGGAGUACGAUCGCAAGGUUAAAACUCAAAGGAAUUGACGGGGGCCCGCACAAGCGGAGGAGCAUGUGGUUUAAUUCGAUGAUACGCGAGGAACCUUACCUGGGCUUAAAUGUAGAGUGCAUGAGUGGGAAACCAUUCUUUCCUUCGGGACUCUUUACAAGGUGCUGCAUGGUUGUCGUCAGCUCGUGUUG